rnacentral:rRNA from 1 species
UACGUAGGGACCAAGCGUUGUUCGGAUUUACUGGGCGUAAAGGGCGCGUAGGCGGCUUAACAAGUCACUUGUGAAAUCUCCGGGCUUAACUCGGAACGGCCAAGUGAAACUGUCAAGCUAGAGUGCAGAAGGGGCAAUCGGAAUUUCCUGUGUAGCGGUGAAAUGCGUAGAUAUAGGAAGGAACACCAGUGGCGAAGGCGACCACCUGGACUGAUACUGACACUGAGGUGCGAAAGCGUGGGGAGCAAACAGG